UUGUAUGUGUUUUUUUUAAGACUUGUUUUUCUUUUUGUGUUAUCUGGAUUAUUGUUAUUUAUAUUUUUUAGUUAAUUAGUAACAGUUCAAAUAAUUGAGAAACUUGAUGGAAAUCUAAAAUUAUACUUAAUAACAAAAUAAAAAGUUAAUUAUUACUAGUUCCAACAGUGGGACAUCAAGUUUGGUUGUGACCAGGAAGACGACACAUGAAACAUUU
rnacentral:lncRNA from 1 species